rnacentral:misc_RNA from 1 species
AAAGUCGUAACAAGGUUUCCGUAGGUGAACCUGCGGAAGGAUCAUUAUAAAGUACAAUGAUAUGUGAUGAGGUUGAUUUUCGGAUUGGCCGAGUCAUGUGUUUAUUUACUUGUGAACUGGUUCAAGCUUGCUUGGACGCUUUAUUAAUUACUUGUGUAUUUUUUUAUGAUUAUUGAUAUACUUGACGCAAGGAGAGUAUAGAAAAUAAAUAUAAAGACAACUUUCAGCAAUGGAUCUCUUGGCUCUU